ACGAUGCUUCGACCCGCUCCCCCUCCACGGCUUCGACCACGUCCACCUCGACCUCGGCUACUAUGGCACUAAAGGGCUAUCAUCUGCAUGAGUCUCCAGUCAAAGCUUUCGCACCGGCAUUCCGACUGCAGGGGGAUAUGUCUCCAUUGUUCUCUAGUCUGACUGUUCGUGUUGCUACUGCUACGACUGCGGGGGGAUGUUAGAGUAUAUUAGGCAACUCCAGAUAUGGUUAGUUUAGGAUUGAUUGUAAUCCCGGGAUAACCUUCCUUAUCUCUAGGAGAGGCUACUUGCCCUCCAAGCCAUGUACUCCUAUAUAUACCGCCCAAAAGGCUCAAUGCAAUACAUCGACCUCAUUAUACGCAUCCUACUUUCUUACAACAGUGAUACUGAAAAAGACAUUGACUGGAGACGAGUUUCUUUAGCAAGUAAAGCAGACAAUGCUUGUGCCAUAGUCAAAUCAGAUUCACCAUGAAGUAGCUGUCUACGAAGAGAAUCAAAUUCUUCCCAUACACCCAUGACAAAGCGAUAUGCAAGAAAUCGGUGAAGAAACUUGUGUGCUGGACAAUUACCAGUAGGGCAUUCAUCAAUCAUAGAGGUCAAAGAUCCCACCAGACGAUCAAAAGUAGAGUAAUACUCAUCAAUGGACAUAUCAUUUUGUUCAAUUACAUGAACUUGCUGCAAGAGAUUAUGUAAAAGAGCACCACUGUCCGGAACAUAGCGCCCCUCAAUGCCGUCUCUACACAAAAGGCCCAUUCAGGAUAAUUCUGACCAUCAAGGAUGAUAUUGAUUACUAUUGUAUUGAUCUGUGCCAUGGUGAAAGCUGCUAGCACCUUGACCCAAACAAACGAAGAAGGAAGCAGUUACCACAGCAGAACAAUCAGCAGAUCAGAGCAGAGCACCAGCAGAGCAGAGCACCCCCCAUCCAUGGCGCCAGCAGAGCAGAGCAUGCGUCCAUGUAGCAGAACAGGGGCAGGCACCAACAGAGCAGCCCCCCUUCCCGGUCCGUGCAGCAGAACAGGGGCGGACGCAGACAGCCAGGCGCAGACAGGGGCAGGCGGGAAUGAAGAGGGGCGGGCGCACGGUGCAUGGACGGGCGGCCGGCGACGAACGCAGAGCGCGGACGGGCGACGACGAGCGCGGCGCGCAGACGGGCGGCCGGCAACCCGCAACAGGCGGAUCCGCGACGUGCGAACGUCCGGGAGGCCACAACAACGUCUGCAACAGGCGGACGGCCGCGACGGGCGGCGUGCCGGCGGGGACAGACGCCGUGACGGGCGGCGAACGAGGACGCCGCAACGGGCGGCGACCAGAAGUGCAGCGACGAGCGGCAGGGGACGACGGACAGCAACGUGCAGAUCCGCGCCGGCGGGCAGCAAACGAGCCACCAGACGACCAGACGACCGCCGGCGAAGAUGAACAGUGGAUCUCGGGUGGGCUAACCUAACCCUAACCCUACCUGCUCUGAUUCCAUGUUACCUUACAAUGAAUGAAUCAAGAGGGAAAGCACAAUGGAGGUGAGCUAGUAGAUAAGCCUUUACAGUAUGGGCCACUUGGGCCUGUAGAGUAUAUGGGUCAUAUAGCCAUAUAACAGAUUUAUGAGCUGCUACCUAACAAGUGGGUGUAUUAGGCUGAGAAUGUGCGAUUUGGUGCCCAGGUGUUGUGAUUAGCUGGUUGCUUGGGAUUUGUAUGCUCAGGUAGGGUAUUGCUUGGCGAGGCAUGUAGCAAGGGCCCUGUACUGGUAAAGAUCCCUCUUUCUAUUUCUACAUCAUUGAUGUAGAAAGGGCCCUCCUUUUGAUGAGUCUGGUCUCUAUAUUUUGGAUUGUUGUUCUUUAGAUUAAUCAGUACCCUCUUAUCAAAAUGGUGGUGGAUGUAGAUAGGCUCACAAUGUUAAGAGCAUCUCCAAGAGCUCUUGUAUCUAUGAAUAGCUAAAAUCCUGAUAUAGCUAUUAUGUAAAAUGAAAUAGCUAGCGAAAAAGGAAUGAAAUCCAACAGCUUCUUCAAAUCCAAAAAGGAAUGGCUAGCGUUGAGCGCUAGGCAAAGAUGCCCAGCGGCAUCCCCUGGAUAGAAAACGAGGACAGAAGACGAGGUAUAUAAAGUUUCUGUUGGAUGUGGUUUUUUCGUCUUCCUUUUCUUUUUUUUAAAAACUCAUCCAAGAUAUAAGAGCUCUUGGAGAUGCUCUUAGAUUGACAUUAUUCAGAAGCUAUAGGAAAACCAUGUUAGUUUAUAGACAUUUCUAUUGAAAAAUUGGUUGACUGUCUUACAAAUUAACAAGAGCAGAUAUCCAUGUUCCCUUUUGUAUGAAAAGGUAUUUCCUACUUUAGCAGUUGGAGUAUCUUUCUUUGCUGUUCAAAGCAAAAUGAUUUGGUUUAUUCCAUAUCUCUUCCUUUACUAAUUCAAAUUAAACUAUUCUUUACAGGCUUGCUAAAAUAUAUUUGUUUUACUCAUUGAAAAUGUGUUUCGUGUCUAGAUUCUUUUAAUGGUUAGCAUCAUUCAAUCAUUGAAAUUUAGUUCUUUGAUGCAUCUUCUAGCAGCAGGACCUUCUGGAAGUAGGUUAGUAAAUACUAUUAACUUUGUCGAUAUUGUCAUUCUGCAUAACUUGGAAGGAUCACCUUCUUGUAAAUAAUCAAAUAGUUCUGUAUAUGACAUAUAGAUGAUAUCAAGAUUGCUAAUAUAUGUUGGCAGACUUUAUUUUAUUUACGUUUACAGGUGAGGCUGUGCAAACCUUUGGACUCCAUUAUUGUUUACUGGCACAACUGGAGGAUACUUGGUUACAAGAGAACGGUGCGAGGGAAGUACUUGCUCAAAAGUUCACCAUCCUAGCUUCAAAACUGUUCCAACUCACAAUAGUAAAAAACAUACUCUUAUUUCCCUUUUCAUAUAUUAAGUAAAGGUUUUUAUUUCCAGACUGGGCUAUGUGACAUGGCAGUAAUAUAUAGCCAAACAGUUCAGCUGUUGAAACUUAGUGUUUGGCAUUUGAUUCUGCACCUUAUGGAGUAUAUAUGUAGUUUAUUUAUCAGCAUCCAGAUGAAGUCAUCUACAUUAACUACACUAAAUUUACAUGAUAGGUAGACUGGUGUAAUCCUUUUAUUUGUUUUUGUAGAGAAGACUAAAAUUAGGGAUGACUUCUGACAUCAAAAUUUUUGGCUGUUAUGCUAGGCAUCUACUGUUCCAUAAUACUCUUGUUAUUUUUUACAUUUUGAACAGUUCAAACUCAUCAUUGCAGCUUGGAGGGCUGAGUCAUGCAACAGACAAGAGCAUCUUCCAAGCUAUUGAUUCCCUUUUGGUUGUGUUCCUAUAUAGCUGCUCCUUGAUAGAGUGAGUGUAUAACUUCUCUUGUUUGUGUGAAAAGCAUAUAUAUGUUUGCCUUUAUUAUUGAUCUGAGUAUAUCUUGAUCCACUUAUCAUUUUGCUCCCAUGCUAGGAUUGAUUUCAAUACUCGAUGUAGUCUAAUAGCAUUUGUAAAACAUACAGUAGGAUUUCAUGAUCUUUUUCUUAUGCAAACCAAGUGAAUAACAGUAUUGGCCUCAUUUUUAUAUGCUCCAUUUGAUCUUGUGACAUUUUUUUGCUUCAUCUUUCGUCCGUCGUCCGCCCCCGUCAUUAUGGGAAAAAACCGCUUUUAAAACUUUGACUACAAUACAUUCACAUCACACAUUAGCUAAAAAACAAAGUAGCAGAUUGAUAUAACUACAGUGAACUUUGGGCAAAGUAUGAUCUACAUUAUUUCAGGUGCCAUCUCUACUAUUCUGAUUUGUUGUAUGCUGCUCCAGGUGUUAGUGAUAUAAGCUCUCGAUAGAUAGAAAAGAUCAACAUGCUCCAGGUAUGCAUCCCUUUGUUUGUUUCUCAUACUUACCUCUGACUGUUGUGAGGGAAAUAGGGAAUCAUAUGUCUUGAUCAUGUUGUUCAAAGGGUGCUCUUGGCCAGUCGAUUAUCCAUUCCCCUCUCAUCCGGGAUUCUGCUGAAGGAAAACUAUGCUGCUGAAUUUGACUACAAGCAGGGAGGGGUAAGUUGACUAAGAAGCUGUGAAUAGCGAAAGAGGAAGGAGCAAUCCAGUGAGCCUUGGAUCAAGAAUUAUGGAAUGGAUUUGAAGCCACUCUGCUGCUGUGUUGGCAUCUGGAAUCGAGGUGCAUAGAGCAAUUUGGCCACCGGACUAACGGCUAAGGGAAGGUUUUGAAGGCAGGGUCUCAUGACUUCGUUGCGUGGUGCAUUGGGCCCAGAGGGCACCCAGCGAGCAAUUUCAUUGUGGUAAGCCCAAGCUGCAUGUUCUAAUUAGCUUUAGUCUUUUCAUUCCAAAGGGUUUAGAACAGAGAAAUAAUAUAUAUAGUAAAAAAUAUUUCUUCUUAUGUUUGAUAAAAAGGACAUUGUUUAGUUCAGUAUGUGUACUUUCCUUGGAAUUAUUUUGGAGAUUAUUUUUUUUACCUUUUUUAUAUGACUUAGAUCUGCAUUCUGGUUUGUUUCUAUUUCAGGAAAUAAAACUUUUUAAGUUGCUAAAGGCCCUAGAUAUGCUAAACUGGUAGCUCUGCAUUUGCAUGCUUUUUGCAAUUUGCUUAUGUUUCUAGAAAGAGAGGAAGCUUUAUUUGUCCUGUGGCUUUGAGCAGUACAUGAGCCUUGUAUGAUAAAGAUCAUUAGCAAGUUUAGGGAUUAGCAUGUGCAAUUUUGACAAAUGUGAUUCUCAUGUCGGUAACACUUAAGCAUAGUGCAGACUCUUUUCAGUACAGGUUUUGCUUCAGCUAGGAGAACUGCUUCUACUCUUUAGUAAUUUCCUAUUUUUUUUCAAUUCCCAAUAGAUUUAUUGAUAUAUUCAGAAUCAUUUCCCUUUG